rnacentral:tRNA from 1 species
GCGCCCUCAGCGGCUUCCAGUCCCCACAGCAAUGCUCGGUUUGCGGAGGAAUGCCAGUCCAUUCCGAGCAACAUGAUUGCUCUUUUGCUUGCUCGACUCCCGCCUUCAUCGCACCUUUGAGCACCAGACUACGAAUCUGGGGGGCAGGAGUUCGAAUCUCUUCGGGCGCGCCA